GAUGAACGCUGGCGGCGUGCCUAAUACAUGCAAGUAGAACGCUGAAGGAAGGAGCUUGCUCUUUCCGGAUGAGUUGCGAACGGGUGAGUAACGCGUAGGUAACCUGCCUGGUAGCGGGGGAUAACUAUUGGAAACGAUAGCUAAUACCGCAUAACAGUAGAUGUUGCAUGAUAUCUACUUAAAAGUUGCAAUUGCACCACUACCAGAUGGACCUGCGUUGUAUUAGCUAGUUGGUGAGGUAACGGCUCACCAAGGCGACGAUACAUAGCCGACCUGAGAGGGUGAUCGGCCACACUGGGACUGAGACACGGCCCAGACUCCUACGGGAGGCAGCAGUAGGGAAUCUUCGGCAAUAGACGGAAGUCUGACCGAGCAACGCCGCGUGAGUGAAGAAGGUUUUCGGAUCGUAAAGCUCUGUUGUAAGAGAAGAACGAGUGUGAGAGUGGAAAGUUCACACUGUGACGGUAUCUUACCAGAAAGGGACGGCUAACUACGUG
rnacentral:rRNA from 1 species